AUGGAGCCAUAUAAGGAAAAAAUGACUUUAUCACAGAACAGAUCUGUAUCGUUUUCAGAAGAGAAACUAAAGGAGCAGAUAAAAACUUUGGCGGAACCCAGAGACAACAAGGACAUAUUUCCACCAAAAGGAAAUCUUCACGAGUCAUCAUAUCGAAGAAUCGGACCUGACGACGAAGGUACCGGUGUCUCGGAGACGCACGCUAUGUUAUCGCAGAUCGAAAUGCGAGACGAGUAUAAGCCGAUCGUCUAUCCACGACGUAGCCUACUCAUGAUGCAAUCGCUCGCUUCGGCAGAAAAGGAAUACGAGGAGAAGGAAUUACAACUGGAGGACCUGCUCAUGGAUCCCAGGGCGAUUCGUUACAUGGACUAUCGCACCACCAUGGAUAGCGAUUAUCGAUCGCCUUAUCCUCCAAGAAAGAUGUCACCGCCGCCAUCACCGCCGCCGGAACCAUGGCUGUUGAAUCGACGCACCAUCGGUUACAGUUUUGAUGCUUUGGAAAAUCGUCGCGGAUACCGCAUGUUCUUCGACGACGACAUGGAUCUUCAUCGGAGAAUAGCAGAGUUGAAAACGAAAAGGGACGCUCCUGCGACGUUCUUGUGACUCCCGUUUACCAGGAUGGCUGCUGUGGCAGAGGAUAGGGAUACAGUGGUUCAAAAAGGUUUAUCGGAGUGGUGGAGCGAAGAGACGGAGUACGUGUUCCAGAGGAUCGAGCGGUGGGCCGCCUUCGCCCGCGGUUACAAUCGUCUACGAUCGCAAAGGUGGUCCAAGGAACGGUCUAAAGAUCAAAUACAGGAGCAUCAUCGGGGCUCGUCUACCCAAAAGUCGGGCGUCGACGAGCCGACUUGUGCGCCGCGGUUCUACAAUCUCGAGCGAUCCCGACAGAAAGUGCAACCAGAAGAGACCAGGAUUAACUGUUGCGGUACUUUCAAUUAUCAGUCGAAUAGCAAGCUGGAUAGCAACUGCCUGGAGACAUAUCGGUACGACCACAGCAUUUACUUCAAGACCAUCGGCGACAUCAAGAAUAACAGAAAGAACGUCGGGAGCCACGACGUGGACAGAGUAUCCAUCAGCAGCGAAGAGCUGGUGGAGUGGGACUCCAGCUCGCUCACUGACCUCUUAGCGGACAAAUUGAUCGUCCAGGAAACUUGCAACAACAAUUAUCUGAGCAAUAACGCCAUUCUCAAUACCGUCGAGACAAAAACGACCCGGGUGACGCAGAACGCCUGGCCGAUCGUAGAUCUGGCUAAACUCGACUUGAAUCUGACAGAGACAUCGCGACUCUCUCGUUCGACUGAUCCGGACGGUCAAGGAAAAAGCGAAGAACACUGGGAAAACAACAACACGGAUAAUUCGGAAGUAGAGUCUCCGGAUCUUAAGACGUGGAAGGACAAGGACGAUCGAGAGGACGGUCCCAAGGCUCCCGAGAGAAUGAAGACAUUACGAUCGUUUCGAAAAAGCAGACGGUCCUCCAGAAACAUGCGGAGAGCGCCGAUCGUUGGCGAAAACAACGUCGUGUGGCCCGGCGUCCUUCUGAAUUAUACCAACAGCUUCGACGUCGCCAACAGUUCACCGCAUGAUCAGUAAAAAUAAAGGUCGUCAAAGAUAAGUAUUUACGUGUCAGUGUUUCGGCUGACUUUCAAUAUAUUGUAAAUAUCCUACGAUACAGUGUGACGACUUUUUUGUUCACCAAUAAAAAAACUUUUUAUACAUACAUAUAUAU
rnacentral:sRNA from 1 species